GCUUCCAUAGUGAUUGGGAAAUGGUGGUGUGAGAUGGAGCCUUGUCUCGAGGGAGAAGAAUGUAAGACACUACCUGAUAAUUCCGGAUGGAUGUGUGCUACAGGCAAUAAAAUUAAGACAACAAGAAUUCACCCAAGAACCUAAUGGAAGCAUUUGUCAUAGUAGCAAAGGAAAACCACCUCUGCGGAAAAUAUAUUUUAAGAAUUUAAAACAUCUUACACAUUACAAGCCAAAUGGAUUUCUUAUUUGCACUUUGACUGGUUACCAGAUAAUCACAGUGCUUUCACUGUGUGUCACAAAGUAUCCUAUAGUGAGAAGACCCCGCGCUUUUGGCAGCACCAUGGAAAGUGGGUUUAAAAAAAAAACGGUUUUCUCAAUGAAAAUUUUUGGGAUUACGAAGAACGAUCAACUAUCUUCUAAUUUGGAUCUAUAGUUACUUUGUACCAUUUUAAAUAUAUGUAUAUAUAUAAUAUUUUGAAAUAUUAUAUAUUCUCUUCAAGAAAUGAACAAUACCACAGUUUGAGGCGGCUGGUGUACCUCUUUGAGUUUGGAUGUUUUGUUUUGUUUUGUCGCGGUUUCUUUUUUUACCGGCAAGGAAGAAGACACGUGCCCCUUUUGAAACUUCAACAUGGCACUCACACUGGAAGGCCAGCUACAGGUGGACUUCUGGAAUCUGAGGCAUCCUAACAAUACUGAAUCGAGAGCUUCCUUCUGUUUCUACCAGAUGGCCCAAGGAAGCACAUCGUCCUGUUUUAUUGCUUUCUACCCGUGCAAUAUUAGCAUGCAAGCCUGGCUUACAUAACCAUACUUUAUAUUCAAUUGAUAUAUAAUAACCAUUCUAACCUCUUCCAGGAAAGUAUUUUUAGAACUACUAGCUUUUCCACAGAUAAGACAAUGAGGAUUCUUGAGGGAGCUACUCCACCAUGCUAUUAAGACUCUGGCAAAAUCAUGGUAGAAGACGGAUCCCUGUGUUAAUAAGUUCUGUAAAUACAAUGUCUUAAGGCUUGGUAUAGCUGUCCUAGACUGCAGAAAUAUCCUCCGAUUAAAUCCAAAGCCUGGCAUCAUUAAGUACAUAGUGCUGUAGCCACAAGUCUUAUCAUGGCACCUCUUUCUAUGUUUGAUUUGCUUUUUCCAAGAGUAUUCAGGUCUCUUCUGAAUCUGAAGAUUCAGGAAGACCAUUAAAGGAAUUAGGUUUCAGAAUGAUCUCUGUGACCAAAUGCUGGCCAGCCCUAUUAAAGUGGUAGAUAACUUCUUUCUACACCUA